CCCCCAGUAACUGCGAGUGAAGAGGGAAGAGCUCAUCAUUGGAAUCUGGCAGCGUCUCGCUGUCCGAGUUGUAGAUGAGAAGAGUGGGCCAUCUGGACUGCAUGGUGUCCAAGUACAAUAGGCCGUCAGUGGGACAUCAUAGAGGGUGACAAUCCCGUCCUUGACACCAAUGUACGAGUCCUUUUACGAUGCCUAUCUCGGAGAGUCGAGCAGUUUGGGAUUUGCUGCUUAAACAUGGGAGGUAGAUUCCUUCCAAAGCUAAAUACAGGCAAGAGACCGAUAGAGAACAAGUACCGCAAGGGAAAGAUGAAAUAGAACUCUGUGAAGGGAGUCAAAAGACGUGAAAUUGUUGCGAGAGAAGCGAUUCAAGUCAGCGUAGCUGGGCCCAUCAAGCCUCGCGCUUUGGACCAGCUUUGCCAGCGGUCUUGUCCUAGAGACUCGACUAAGGUGCCCUGCCCGGUCUGACGGGCAGACCUUCCCCCCUGGGGGAGGCCAGCGGCACGGCUGGUGGAAUGGCUUGCAAUCGACCCGUCUUGAAACACGGACCAAGGAGUCUAACAUGCAUGCGAGUAUAAGGGUGGCAAACCCGUAUGCGCAAAGAAAGUGAUAGCCUAUGGCUGUGAAUGACCUGAUGACCAGACAAGCGAUAUCAUGUCCCUCGUACGGUCAUUGCCCAAGUCCCGUGGUCAGAUCCCAUGGACAUGGAGUUGGAGCGUGCAUGCUAGGACCCGAAAGAUGGUGAACUAUGCCUGGACAAAGCGAAGCCAAAGGAAACUCUGGUGGAGGCUUGUAGCGAUUCUGACGUGCAAAUCGAUCGUCUGAUCUGGGUAUAGGGGCGAAAGACUAAUCGAACCAUCUCAUAGCUGGUUCCUGCCGAAGUUUCCCUCAGGA
rnacentral:rRNA from 1 species